rnacentral:rRNA from 1 species
AGUUGGUGGAGUGAUUUGUCUGGUUAAUUCCGUUAACGAACGAGACCUCGACCUGCUAAAUAGUUCGACAAAUUCUUCGGGAUUUGUACGCGACUUCUUAGAGGGACUAUCGGUGGUUAGCCGAUGGAAGUUCGAGGCAAUAACAGGU